CUUGCUGUUUCGCUGACGAGUGGCGGACGGGUGAGUAAUGUCUGGGAAACUGCCUGAUGGAGGGGGAUAACUACUGGAAACGGUAGCUAAUACCGCAUAACGUCGCAAGACCCAAAGAGGGGGACCUUCGGGCCUCUUGCCAUCGGAUGUGCCCAGAUGGGAUUAGCUUGUUGGUGGGGUAACGGCUCACCAAGGCGACGAUCCCUAGCUGGUCUGAGAGGAUGACCAGCCACACUGGAACUGAGACACGGUCCAGACUCCUACGGGAGGCAGCAGUGGGAAAUAUUGCACAAUGGGCGCAAGCCUGAUGCAGCCAUGCCGCGUGUAUGAAGAAGGCCUUCGGGUUGUAAAGUACUUUCAGCGGGGAGGAAGGGAGUAAAGUUAAUACCUUUGCUCAUUGACGUUACCCGCAGAAGAAGCACCGGCUAACUCCGUGCCAGCAGCCGCGGUAAUACGGAGGGUGCAAGCGUUAAUCGGAAUUACUGGGCGUAAAGCGCGCGCAGGCGGUUUGUUAAGUCAGAUGUGAAAUCCCCGGGCUCAACCUGGGAACUGCAUCUGAUACUGGCAGGCUUGAGUCUCGUAGAGGGGGGUAGAAUUCCAGGUGUAGCGGUGAAAUGCGUAGAGAUCUGGAGGAAUACCGGUGGCGAAGGCGGC
rnacentral:rRNA from 1 species